AUAAAUAUUAUUUUCUUUUUAAUUUAUUAAAAAAUCAUGAGGUUCUUUCUUAUAGUUCUUCUACCUACUAAAUAAUUUUUACAAGUUUUUAAUAGGUCAUACAUAUGAAGAGAGGACCAUGAUCUUAAUAUUUAAAUACUAAGUAUCACAAUUAAGAGAAGUAGUUUAAACCAACUAAGAUAAUUAUCUUGAAGACUUAUAAAGACUUCAAUUUAAUGAAUUUUUUCUUAAUAAGACUCUUUUAACUUAUAAAACCUUCUAAAUCUUAAUAAAUACUUCAAUAAUCACAUAAACUUUCUAAUCUUAAUAUUUUUAUAUUUAAACAACAUUAAAACUAUGUUUUAUAGCAAUUCCACCAAUUAAGUUACAUUGGUGAAAGUCACACUACAAUUUUGUAGAAAAUCCAUUCAAUAUCCGCACUCCAAUGCUUGCUCCCAAUAGGACCUUUGAACAUGAACUUUGAACAUACACUGUGUUUCUCUCAAUUACAUCUCAUAUGUGCAACUUUGGGAUCUAACUCACAGUGUUGUAUGCAACAUAUAGCAAAAUAAUAAUAACAAUAAUAAAAUUAAAUCAGCAAAGCAUACAAAGAAACUGAGAUGUAAGGUAUAUCAUGGCUUCCAAUGGCUAGAAUUAUCAAACCACAGAGGCCACAUCUUGAAAACACACAAUGCAAAACAAUCUGAAUCAAUUUAUCAAACCUAUCACACCAAAAGAGAAAAAAACGAAGGCCACAAAACUUACCUGAUUGCAUCUCGACACAAGUGUUGCACCUCCUUUCAUUUGUAGCACUCCCCUCACUAAAUUUGCCAAACAUGAGCCAUGGAAAUUGAUUGAAGCAAUUGAAAGCUUCUUUUAAGCAUCGCAGGAACAAUCCAAGCAAGAUACUAGAAGAGCUCUGUUCAAAACAGCAAACUGUUCAUUGCAAAAUCGACCACAAAAAUAGAUUCAAGGAACCAAGGUUAGAAAAAGAAAAAGAAAAAA
rnacentral:lncRNA from 1 species